CCUACGGGAGGCUGCAGUGAGGAAUAUUGGUCAAUGGAGGCAACUCUGAACCAGCCAAGUAGCGUGCAGGAUGACGGCCCUAUGGGUUGUAAACUGCUUUUAUGCGGGGAUAAAGUGAGUCACGUGUGGCUUUUUGCAGGUACCGCAUGAAUAAGGACCGGCUAAUUCCGUGCCAGCAGCCGCGGUAAUACGGAAGGUCCGGGCGUUAUCCGGAUUUAUUGGGUUUAAAGGGAGCGUAGGCCGCCCGUUAAGCGUGUUGUGAAAUGCCGCGGCUCAACCGUGGCACUGCAGCGGGGACUGGGGGGUUUGAGUGCGGCGGAGGUAGGCGGAAUUCGUGGUGUAGCGGUGAAAUGCUUAGAUAUCACGAAGAACUCCGAUUGCGAAGGCAGCUUACUGUAGCGUUACUGACGCUGAGGCUCGAAAGUGCGGGUAUCGAACAGGAUUAGAUACCCCUGUAGUC
rnacentral:rRNA from 1 species